UUCAUUUUCAACAAAUCUCCGGUCAGUGUAACCGGGUUCCAGAUAGGUGCCACAGCCAACACCUCUACUGUGCACAGGCUCAGGCAGCCACAUCUGCCUCUUCCACAGCGUACUACAGACUGGGCCAGGCCAACCACUUCAGCAAAUCCAAAGUUUCCUUUGAAGGAAAUGCCAACCCAGACAUAAGCACCCCUGAAACCCACCUGACAGAGUGACAUGGCACCAAGCUUUGCCACAUGUUCUGUGCCAGCCGCAGAUUCCUGAGGUGGCCCAGGUUCAUUACACGCCGGUGGAUAUGCAGCGCAAGGUAGAGGGUUCUGAUCAGGACUCUACAUCAACGCCAGUCUUCUCCAGCUCACAUAGUGUCCUCAGCUACCUGUGCCAAACACGACUGUCUCCACCUUGCAGAUGGAAAACGGAGGGCACAAGGACAUGAAAUGACUCGCCCUAG